AAAGGUAAUUUCGUCCGUGAAGGGAUGUCGGGGUAGCGAGGCCACUUCCGGCGAGUUGUGAGACGAGCCCCUAUCGGCGGCAAUACCCCGCGCGGCGCUCGUCCUCCCAGAUCCCGAGAGGCCAGCCCCGCCGAUUCCUCGCCGGAGGCUGCGGCUGUGGGGGCCGGGGCGUCGGGGAAGCCGUAGGCGCCGGUCCGCGAAGAAGGAGGCGGCGGCUCCGGGUGGUGCGUCUACCUCGUCGCCCCAUCUCGGAGAACUCCGAUCCUCCGCGACCACGUAUUCUUCACCACUCAAUUCCAUCGCCGAUGCAGCAAGGUGGCACCUUAAUUCAUGGAUAACUCUCCAUAUUGAUAUUGUUGAGUGAUCUAUUUGAAGGACAAUGAAGGAUCUUCUUUAUACAAUGUGCAUCUAUCAGAUGGUAGAAGUGAGUAACCAUCACCAAUUACAUCAUCAGGAAGAAGCUGAACAUGGUGGUGCUCCAAAAAUACAAACAAACUGACAUCGUUCAAAUUCCAGCAACAGGUUUGGUGAAGUAACAGUAACAGAACUUAACCUCAGUAACUUAUUUCCCUAUUCAAUUUAAUUAAUAGUUGCGGCAACUUCUUCUUUUGGGUGGUUGCGGCGACUUCUUCGAAGGGAUUUUGCAAGGCAGAUAGGUUCAAAUGACAUGUGCUGGGUUGAUGAAAGUCUGUCCAUUCCUGUAAAAAAAAGUGGCCAUAGCAGUUUAGUGGUAAGAUGAACUCUUACUCAGAUACAGGAAACUACCAUAAGUACUGUUAAAUAGGCAGUAGCACUUUAAAUAAAAGUAUCCAGAAGAGACAAUAUGCAGUAGUCAGGAAUGGAGUACUCCCUCCGACCCAUAUUACUUGCCAGUAAAGUGGAUGUAUCUACAAUUAAAAUGUAUUAGAUACAUCUACAUUAGUGUCAAGUAAUAUGAAUCGGAGUACCAUUUUUCUAUUUAACUAAAAUGGGGCAUCACAUGCCCUUUUUAAAGUAAAAAUACAAGUAAGUAGGUUGUAGCACUUGAAUUUCAGCGGGCGAAAACAUAGCAUAUGGUGAUAUCAGGAUUAAUGAGGAGCUAGAUAUGCUUACUCUACAAUAGCAAGAUGUUCUAACGGUUGUUAGACUUGUGUUCUGACAAGGAGGAAAAAGAGCGAGGAUUGGUGGUGCUAGAAUUUUGAAGAAACGGUGUCAGAUUAUGUAACCAAUGCACUUUUUGAGGGGUUGACUAUUUUCCACAACCACUUGAGAUAUAUUGUACAUGUGUUUGUUAGAAGUUCCGUUAUGGAUUUGCUAUUUCCACUUGAGUAGACUAUCUACAAUUUCUGGAUAAAUGCUAUUUUGUACAGUACAUAUUCAGAAAUUAGCAGAUUGCAGGAGAGGCAGUAUGGCUCAGAGGGCUAUUUUAUAGCUGCAUUACCUGGCUAGUUGCUCUUGGGACA